CUAGGCAACCGGCCUCCGCGGUCAGGGGACCGCUCUGUGGUUGGAAGGGCCCCGCCAGUUUCUUAAAAUAUCAGACCUCAGAGCACAUUUAGUCCCAGAGAAGAGGGGAGAAUCCAGCCAGCUUCAGCCCGGCGGAUGAGGGCCCGUUAUUGUUGUGAUUUCCACGGCACUUGCCAAAUGUGCUGUGUUAUCCUUGAGGAUGAAAUGAUUUCACGAGCUCAGGAAACCCCGGUCAGUCCAAGUCAGGGAAAUGAUGUCAAAGCCCGUUACAGCCAGAGAGCAGGACAAAGAGAAACUUUGGAAGCAGCUGCCCAGAAGCGACACGGCACUCGGGGGAGCGAUAAUUUGGGUAAAUGCUCGCUUCUCGUGAGACAUGAACAGAGCCGGAGGCAGCGGGAGAUAUUUUUAAUGUACUAAAAGGAAAAAAAAAAUCCUAUAAACAGAAAAACUAUUCUUCGAGAAUGAAAGUGAAAGACAUUUUCAGA